rnacentral:rRNA from 1 species
UUCUAUGGCCAUGUCACCCUGAACUUGCCCAAUCUCGUCUGAUCGCGGAAACCAAGCAGGGUCAGCCCAGUUAGUACUUGGAUGGAAGACCACCUAGGAAGACCAAGUGCUGUAGGUA